CGGGGUGUAGCGCAGUUGGUAGCGCGCCUGCUUCGGGAGCAGGAGGCCGUGGGUUCAACUCCCGCCACUCCGACCA
rnacentral:tRNA from 2 species